rnacentral:rRNA from 1 species
UAGGGAAUCUUCGGCAAUGGACGAAAGUCUGACCGAGCAACGCCGCGUGAGUGAAGAAGGUUUUCGGAUCGUAAAACUCUGUUGUUAGAGAAGAACAAGGACGUUAGUAACUGAACGUCCCCUGACGGUAUCUAACCAGAAAGCCACGGCUAACUACGUGCCAGCAGCCGCGGUAAUACGUAGGUGGCAAGCGUUGUCUGGAUUUAUUGGGCGUAAAGCGAGCGCAGGCGGUUUCUUAAGUCUGAUGUGAAAGCCCCCGGCUCAACCGGGGAGGGUCAUUGGAAACUGGGAGACUUGAGUGCAGAAGAGGAGAGUGGAAUUCCAUGUGUAGCGGUGAAAUGCGUAGAUAUAUGGAGGCACACCAGUGGCGAAGGCGGCUCUCUGGUCUGUAACUGACGCUGAGGCUCGAAAGCGUGGGGAGCAAACAGG